rnacentral:rRNA from 1 species
AGAUCGAACUGUAGAGUUUGAUCCUGGCUCAGAUUGAACGCUGGCGGCAUGCCUUACACAUGCAAGUCGAACGGUAACAGGUCUUCGGACGCUGACGAGUGGCGAACGGGUGAGUAAUACAUCGGAACGUGCCCAGUCGUGGGGGAUAACUACUCGAAAGAGUAGCUAAUACCGCAUACGAUCUGAGGAUGAAAGCGGGGGACCUUCGGGCCUCGCGCGAUUGGAGCGGCCGAUGGCAGAUUAGGUAGUUGGUGGGAUAAAAGCUUACCAAGCCGACGAUCUGUAGCUGGUCUGAGAGGACGACCAGCCACACUGGGACUGAGACACGGCCCAGACUCCUACGGGAGGCAGCAGUGGGGAAUUUUGGACAAUGGGCGAAAGCCUGAUCCAGCAAUGCCGCGUGCAGGAUGAAGGCCUUCGGGUUGUAAACUGCUUUUGUACGGAACGAAAAAGCUUCUCCUAAUACGAGAGGCCCAUGACGGUACCGUAAGAAUAAGCACCGGCUAACUACGUGCCAGCAGCCGCGGUAAUACGUAGGGUGCAAGCGUUAAUCGGAAUUACUGGGCGUAAAGCGUGCGCAGGCGGUU